CCGAAAUAGUUUUAAAAUGAAACGAAACAUAGUAAAUACAGCUUGGUGGUGGCACUUACAGAAUUUUAUUCCGUGAGUAUUAUUUACUUGUAUUUAUCAAAAUAUAUUUUUGAAAAGGCUUGUC
rfam:Bacteroidales bacterium 36-12 SCNpilot_bf_inoc_scaffold_312, whole genome shotgun sequence.